rnacentral:rRNA from 1 species
GACGAACGCUGGCGGCGUGCUUAACACAUGCAAGUCGAACGAUGAAGCCGGAGCUUGCUCUGGUGAAUUAGUGGCGAACGGGUGAGUAACACGUGAGUAACCUGCCCUUGACUCUGGGAUAACUGCGGGAAACUGUAGCUAAUACCGGAUACGACCCUUGGAGGCAUCUCCUGGGGGUGGAAAGAAUUUCGGUCAAGGAUGGACUCGCGGCCUAUCAGCUAGUUGGUGAGGUAACGGCUCACCAAGGCGACGACGGGUAGCCGGCCUGAGAGGGUGAACGGCCACACUGGGACUGAGACACGGCCCAGGCUCCUACGGGAGGCAGCAGUGGGGAAUAUUGCACAAUGGGCGCAAGCCUGAUGCAGCAACGCCGCGUGAGGGAUGACGGCCUUCGGGUUGUAAACCUCUUUUAGCAGGGAAGAAGCGAAAGUGACGGUACCUGCAGAAAAAGCACCGGCUAACUACGUGCCAGCCGCCGCCGUAA